rnacentral:rRNA from 1 species
GUAGGUGACCUGCGGAAGGACAUUGUCGAAACCUGCCUAGCAGAACGACCCGCGAACGUGAUAUCAAACAACUGAUCGAGGGGGUGCGGAUGCAUCCGUGCCCCGUUCCCCCCUCGAUGCCUCGGUGUGCAUUCCCCUCCCACAUCCGUCCUCGGGCGGGUGCGACGGGUUUUGUCACAUUCCAAGGCAAAACGAACAACCCCCGGCGCGAAUCGCGUCAAGGAAUAAAAAAUGAAGGAGUGCAUGUUUCGCUGUCGCCCGGCAGCGAGGAUGUUACUUUCGUCGUGAAAAUCAAAAACGACUCUCGGCAACGGAUAUCUCGGCUCUCGCAUCGAUGAAGAACGUAGCGAAAUGCGAUACUUGGUGUGAAUUGCAGAAUCCCGUGAACCAUCGAGUCUUUGAACGCAAGUUGCGCCCCAAGCCUUUAGGCCGAGGGCACGUCUGCCUGGGUGUCACGCAUCGUUGCCCCCAUCAAACCGUGAGCCCUCGGGCUAGGAAUGAUGCGCGGGCGGAAAUUGGCCUCCCGUGCGCUCACCGCUCGCGGUUGGUCUAAAUUCGAGUCCUCGGCGAUGAAGUGCCGCGACAAUCGGUGGGAAUGCUUUUAGCUGCCUCGUUCAGAGUCGCGUGUGCUCGUCGAUCAGGACGCUCUUGACCCUUUUCAGCAUCGCAACGUCGAUGCUCGCAUCGCGACCCCAGGUCAGGCGGGAUUACCCG